rnacentral:rRNA from 1 species
AGCGGACGCUGGCGGCAGGCCUAACACAUGCAAGUCGAACGGGCACCUUCGGGUGUCAGUGGCAGACGGGUGAGUAACACGUGGGAACGUGCCCUUUGGUUCGGAACAACUCCGGGAAACUGGAGCUAAUACCGGAUAAGCCCUUCGGGGGAAAGAUUUAUCGCCAAAGGAUCGGCCCGCGUCUGAUUAGCUUGUUGGUGAGGUAAUGGCUCACCAAGGCGACGAUCAGUAGCUGGUCUGAGAGGAUGAUCAGCCAGACUGGGACUGAGAACGGCCCAGACUCCUACGGGAGGCAGCAGUAGGGAAUUUUCCACAAUGGACGAAAGUCUGAUGGAGCAACGCCGCGUGCAGGAUGAAUGCCUUCGGGUUG